rnacentral:lncRNA from 1 species
ACAUCCACGAAGCUUCUAACUCUCUCUAUGCUGCUCUCAUUAAUUAUUAGAGGGUCUCCAUGGCCCAUAAAAAGACUUGUUUUACAAAUUCCCAGUCCUUACACAUACUCCCCGGCCAGCACUGAAUUACUAUCGCGCGCCCACCUCAUCUUCAAUCUGGGAUCGAGCUCGUCUUCCUCCGUGGAUCUAGAACAUGAUCAGCUGUGCUAGAGAGAGCAUUUACGUUGACAAAAAUGGUGGGGCAGCUUCUUAAAAGGCUUGUGGGUUUAAUAGAUGAGAUGCUUCAACUUUAGGGGACCAAGCAUCAAAUGAUCAUGUACCUUGUGAAAAUCUUCUGGUAACUAAAGCGAAAGAUGCCUAAACGCCUUUUCACCUCAUCAAUGAUCCACACGAUGACACCUCUAUCAAAUAUUCUUUACCAAUUAUUAUAUGCUCUCUGUGUUCCAUAAUCCAUGGAGAGCCCCUACGAGACCACAGGGAAAGGGGGGAUAAAGCCAGUUCCUCAGUACUAGAUAAGAGGUAGAUUCCGCAAGAAAUAACCACUAGCUCGAGGCGCAACUGAAUUGGGUUCCUGUCUGAACAAAGCACAUGCCCAGCACCCUUUAUAAUGUAAUGUUUUUAACUAAAAGCGUUGUUUAUAUUUACAAGAAGAACUAUAUAUAAUUGUUAAAGCAUGUACAAAAAACAAUAUGCUUAUAUUUUAUGUGAUUGGAAG